UACGGGGGCAGCAAGCGUUGUUCGGAAUUACUGGGCGUAAAGAGUGUGUAGGCGGUGCUCUAAGUUCGUUGUGAAAUCUCCCGGCUUAACUGGGAGGGUGCGGCGGAAACUGGAGUGCUUGAGCGCGGGAGAGGAAAGCGGAAUUCCUGGUGUAGCGGUGAAAUGCGUAGAUAUCAGGAGGAACACCUGUGGUGUAGACGGCUUUCUGGACCGUAGCUGACGCUGAGACACGAAAGCGUGGGUAGCAAACAGG
rnacentral:rRNA from 1 species